rnacentral:rRNA from 1 species
AAGGGCACCACAAGAACGCGUGGAGCAUGUGGCUUAAUUUGACUCAACGCGGGAAAUCUUACCGGGUCCGGACACACUGAGGAUUGACAGAUAUACGACCAGUGUUCGCUUCGGCGUCUCUGCUCUGAAAGAUGCUAGUUCUUUCCUGAUUAUGUGAUAGGUGGUGCAUGGCCGUUCUUAGUUCGUGGAAUGAUCUGUCUGCUUAAUUGCGUAUCAAUAUACCAAACCUAAUAUACCCGUAAAACCACCAGGUUCGUGACCCCCCUUCGGGGCGUGUGUCGCACUCCUGCUAUACCCACAGGUCUCAGAUAGCAACCAACGUGACCGUACUCUAUUGUUGCAGUGAAAUAGUGGGUGGUUUCGGCGGCCCCCACCCCCUGCUUAUCGUAUCUUCGCUUCGGCGGAGUUAUACACAUUAAACUAUAGAGACCGCUGUUUCUUCUUUAAACCAGAGGAAGGAUACGGCAAUAACAGGUCUGUGAUGCCCUCAGAUGUUCCGGGCUGCACACGUGCUACAAUGAUCAUUGCACUGUGCAUCUAACCCAAUGCGCGCGGACGCCACGCUUUGUUCGGUUCGCCGAAUGGAAUGUUGAUUGCGACCGCGCCGAACCUACUUCGAAAGUAACAUUUCUCAGUGGGUAAUCCAUUAGAAGUAAUGACUCGCAUAGACCAUGGCACACAAAAUGUACGCGCAGGUCUACCCGGCUCGCCUUUGUGUGAGUGCAGUGCGUAGCUUGUUGUUUCGUACGUGCCACCUCGUAUUAAUUCGUACGUGGGGACAGAUCAUUGUUUAAUUGUUGGUCUCGGUCUUAACUAGGAAUGCCUUGUACGGGUCUUUGGUUCAACAUACCACCCGGAAUACGUCCCUGCCCUUUGUACACACCGCCCGUCGCUCUUACCGAUGGAUUAUACUAUGAAUCUAUAGGACUGCCAAAGCUGCGGCUCGCCGCGCUUAGUGGAAAUAUAUAUGAAUAGUGUGAUCUAAAGGAAAGAGAAGUCGUAACAAGGCAUCGGUAGGUGAACCUGCAGAAGGAUCA